CCUACGGGAGGCAGCAGUGGGGAAUAUUGGACAAUGGGUGAAAGCCUGAUCCAGCAAUGCCGCGUGAGUGAUGAAGGCCUUAGGGUUGUAAAGCUCUUUUACCCGGGAUGAUAAUGACAGUACCGGGAGAAUAAGCCCCGGCUAACUCCGUGCCAGCAGCCGCGGUAAUACGGAGGGGGCUAGCGUUGUUCGGAAUUACUGGGCGUAAAGCGCACGUAGGCGGUUAUUCAAGUCAGAGGUGAAAGCCUGGAGCUCAACUCCAGAACUGCCUUUGAAACUAGAUAACUAGAAUCAUGGAGAGGUGAGUGGAAUUCCGAGUGUAGAGGUGAAAUUCGUAGAUAUUCGGAAGAACACCAGUGGCGAAGGCGGCUCACUGGACAUGUAUUGACGCUGAGGUGCGAAAGCGUGGGGAGGCAAACAGGAUUAGAUACCCUGGUAGUCCACGCCGUAAACGAUGAUAACUAGUUGUCGGGGUCGUCUUAGAGCUUCGGUGACGCNGCUACGCAUUAAGUUUAAUUCCGCCGUGGGGUAGGUACGGGUCGGCGAAGAAUUAAAACCUUAACAAAUAGAAUUGUACGGCGUGAGACGUGCCCGAACGGACCGACCGACCGAAGGGGGUAAGGGUAAGGGU
rnacentral:rRNA from 1 species